UAUAAAACAAUAAAAACAAUUUAAAAACAAUGACACUGUUUCAUAGAAUCUUCUUGCCUAUCUUUAAGAACUGCUCGAAAUAAGUCCAGUGAAAUCAUUUCCGACAUCUUAAGUUCAGACUGCAACUGAUUCCACGAAGUGGGGGCCAACACACUGAAUGCCUGCUUCCCUUUUUCAGUUCGAAACCGUGGGACAUGAAGAAGAAUAAUGUUAUUGGAGCGACGAGAACGAGAACUGACAGUUCUAUGUAGGAGAGUGGAUAAGUAUGCUGGGGUUAGACCGAGUAAAGAUUUAUACAUCAGGAUCAUUAAAUGAUUGUUUCUCUUGACCUCCAACGCUGG